rnacentral:rRNA from 1 species
UGAGGAAUUUUGCGCAAUGGGGGAAACCCUGACGCAGCAACGCCGCGUGGGUGAUGAAGGCCUUCGGGUCGUAAAGCCCUGUCGGGCGGGAAGAACGUCCCUUCGGGGAAUGACGGUACCGCCAGCGGAAGCACCGGCUAACUCCGUGCCAGCAGCCGCGGUCAUACGGGGGGUGCACGCGUUAUUCGGAAUUACUGGGCGUAAAGGGCGUGCAGGCGGGAGAGCAAGUCUGAUGUGAAAGCCCGGGGCUUAACCCCGGAAGGGCAUUGGAAACUGCUGUUCUUGAGUUCUGGAGAGGAAGGUAGAAUUCCCGGUGUAGAGGUGAAAUUCGUAGAGAUCGGGAGGAACAUCAGUGGCGAAGGCGCCCUUCUGGACAGCAACUGACGCUGGGACGCGAAAGCGUGGGGAGCAAACA